rnacentral:rRNA from 1 species
GACGAACGCUGGCGGCGUGCCUAACACAUGCAAGUCGAGCGGGGAUGCGGAUUAGCUUGCUAAGAAGCAUUCUAGCGGCGGACGGGUGAGUAACGCGUGAGCAACCUGCCUCAAACAGGGGGAUAACGCAUCGAAAGAUGUGCUAAUACCGCGUAAGACCACGGCAUCACAUGGUGCAGGGGUCAAGGAGCAAUCCGGUUUGAGAUGGGCUCGCGUCCGAUUAGCUAGUUGGUGAGAUAACAGCCCACCAAGGCGACGAUCGGUAGCCGACCUGAGAGGGUGAUCGGCCACAUUGGAACUGAGAUACGGUCCAGACUCCUACGGGAGGCAGCAGUGGGGAAUAUUGGGGCAAUGGGCGAAAGCCUGACCCAGCAACGCCGCGUGAGGGAAGAAGGGUUUCGGCUCGUAAACCUCUGUCCUAUGGGACGAAGGAAGUGACGGUACCAUAGGAGGAAGCCCCGGCUAACUACGUGCCAGCAGCCG